rnacentral:pre_miRNA from 1 species
CAACUACUCCCUCCGUCCAAUAAAGGAUGUCUCAACUUUGACUAAAUUUGAAUGCAUCUAUACACUAAGUCAUGUCUAGAUACAUCCAAAUUUUGACAAACUUGAGACAUCUUUUGUUGGACGGAAGGAGUAUUAU